rnacentral:rRNA from 1 species
GCCUACGGGCGCAGCAGUGGGGAAUAUUGCACAAUGGGGGAAACCCUGAUGCAGCGACGCCGCGUGAGUGAAGAAGUAUUUCGGUAUGUAAAGCUCUAUCAGCAGGAACGAGACAAGACGGUACCUGACUAAGAAGCCACGGCUAACUACGUGCCAGCAGCCGCGGUAAUACGUAGGGGGCAAGCGUUAUCCGGAAUCACUGGGUGUAAAGGGAGCGUAGACGGCUGAGCAAGCCUGAAGUGAAAGGCGGGGGCCCAGCCCCGGGCAUGGUUUGGAACCGGAACGGCUGGAGGG